rnacentral:rRNA from 1 species
UACGUAGGGUGCGAGCGUUGUCCGGAAUUAUUGGGCGUAAAGGGCUCGUAGGCGGUUUGUCGCGUCGGGAGUGAAAACCAGGUGCUUAACACCUGGCUUGCUUUCGAUACGGGCAGACUAGAGGUAGGUAGGGGAGAAUGGAAUUCCCGGUGUAGCGGUGAAAUGCGCAGAUAUCGGGAGGAACACCGGUGGCGAAGGCGGUUCUCUGGGCCUUACCUGACGCUGAGGAGCGAAAGCGUGGGGAGCGAACAGG